rnacentral:tRNA from 1 species
GCCCCUGUAGCUCAGGGGAUAGAGCAUUGGUUUCCUAAACCAUGAGCGGAGGUUCGAGUCCUCCCAGGGGCA